AGCGAACGCUGGCGGCAGGCCUAACACAUGCAAGUCGAACGAACCUUUCGGGGUUAGUGGCGGACGGGUGAGUAACACGUGGGAACGUGCCUUUAGGUUCGGAAUAACUCAGGGAAACUUGUGCUAAUACCGAAUGUGCCCUUCGGGGGAAAGAUUAAUCGCCUUUAGAGCGGCCCGCGUCUGAUUAGCUAGUUGGUUGAGGUAAUGGCUCACCAAGGCGACGAUCAGUAGCUGGUCUGAGAGGAUGAUCAGCCACAUUGGGACUGAGACACGGCCCAAACUCCUACGGGAGGCAGCAGUGGGGAAUCUUGCGCAAUGGGCGAAAGCCUGACGCAGCCAUGCCGCGUGAAUGAUGAAGGUCUUAGGAUUGUAAAAUUCUUUCACCGGGGACGAUAAUGACGGUACCCGGUGAAGAAGCCCCGGCUAACUUCGU
rnacentral:rRNA from 1 species